rnacentral:rRNA from 1 species
AUUGAACGCUGGCGGCAUGCCUUACACAUGCAAGUCGAACGGCAGCACGGGGGCAACCCUGGUGGCGAGUGGCGAACGGGUGAGUAAUGCAUCGGAACGUGCCCAGUUGUGGGGGAUAGCCCGGCGAAAGCCGGAUUAAUACCGCAUACGACCUGAGGGUGAAAGCGGGGGACCGCGAGGCCUCGCGCAAUUGGAGCGGCGGAUGUCGGAUUAGCGAGUUGGUGGGGUAAAGGCUUACCAAGGCGACGAUCCGUAGCUGGUCUGAGAGGACGACCAGCCACACUGGGACUGAGACACGGCCCAGACUCCUACGGGAGGCAGCAGUGGGGAAUUUUGGACAAUGGGCGCAAGCCUGGUCCAGCCAUGCCGCGUGCGGGAAGAAGGCCUUCGGGUUGUAAACCGCUUUUGUCAGGGAAGAAAUGCUUCGGGCUAAUAUCCUGGAGUGAUGACGGUACCUGAAGAAUAAGCACCGGCUAACUACGUGCCAGCAGCCGCGGUAACAC